rnacentral:rRNA from 1 species
CCGCUGGCGGCAUGCCUCACACAUGCAAGUCGAACGGGGUUUGGUUGAAAGCCUAGCUUUUGACUAAACCUAGUGGCGGACGGGUGAGUAACGCGUGGGCAACCUACCCUACAGACCGGGAUACCAUCGGGAAACUGAUGUUAAUACCGGAUACACUUAGUAUAACGCAUGUUGUAUUAAGGAAAGAUUUUAUCGCUGUAGGAUGGGCCUGCGUUCCAUUAGCUAGUUGGUAGGGUAACGGCCUACCAAGGCGACGAUGCGUAGCCGACCUGAGAGGGUGAUCGGCCACACUGGGACUGAGACACGGCCCAGACUCCUACGGGAGGCAGCAGUAGGGAAUCUUCCGCAAUGGACGAAAGUCUGACGGAGCAACACCGCGUGAGCGAUGAAGGCCUUCGGGUCGUAAAGCUCUGUUGUUAGGGAAGAACAAGUGCUAUUCGAAUAGGGUGGCACCUUGACGGUACCUAACGAGAAAGCCACGGCUAACUACGUGCCAGCAGCCGCGGUAAUACGUAGGUGGCAAGCGUUGUCCGGAAUUAUUGGGCGUAAAGCGCGCGCAGGCGGUCUCUUAAGUCUGAUGUGAAAGCCCACGGCUCAACCGUGGAGGGUCAUUGGAAACUGGGAGACUUGAGUACAGAAGAGGAGAGUGGAAUUCCAUGUGUAGCGGUGAAAUGCGUAAAUAUAUGGAGGAACACCAGUGGCGAAGGCGACUCUCUGGGUCUGUAACUGACGCUGAGGCGCGAAAGCGUGGGGAGCAACAGGAUUAAAUACCCUGGUA